rnacentral:rRNA from 1 species
AACAGCGGAGAGUUUGAUCCUGGCUCAGGAUGAACGCUAGCGGCAGGCUUAACACAUGCAAGUCGCGGGGCAGCGGGGGAGGACUUCGGUCCUCCCGCCGGCGACCGGCGCACGGGUGAGUAACACGUAUGCAACCUGCCCUUGUCAGGGGGACAACCCGCCGAAAGGCGGGCUAAUCCCGCGUAUAUCCCCCGGGGGCAUCCCCGGGGGAAGAAAGGCUUCGGCCGGACAAGGAUGGGCAUGCGGCGCAUUAGGCAGUUGGCGGGGUAACGGCCCACCAAACCGACGAUGCGUAGGGGUUCUGAGAGGAAGGUCCCCCACACUGGUACUGAGACACGGACCAGACUCCUACGGGAGGCAGCAGUGAGGAAUAUU